GAUGAACGCUAGCGGGAGGCUUAACACAUGCAAGUCGAGGGGCAGCAUAGGGUAGCAAUACUCUGAUGGCGACCGGCAAACGGGUGAGUAACGCGUAUGCAACCUACCCUGUACAGGGGGAUAACCCGGAGAAAUUCGGACUAAUAUCCCGUAAUAAUAUCCGGAGGCAUCUUUGGAUAUUUAAAGUUCCGACGGUACGGGAUGGGCAUGCGUAACAUUAGCUGGUUGGUAAGGUAACGGCUUACCAAGGCUAUGAUGUUUAGGGGUCCUGAGAGGGUGGUCCCCCACACUGGUACUGAGACACGGACCAGACUCCUACGGGAGGCAGCAGUGAGGAAUAUUGGUCAAUGGGCGCAAGCCUGAACCAGCCAUCCCGCGUGCAGGAAGACGGCCCUAUGGGUUGUAAACUGCUUUUCCAGGGAGAGAAACUUACGCACGUGUUGCGUGACUGACGGUACCCUGGGAAUAAGCACGGCUACUACGUCGCACGCAGCGCCGGUAAGUAACUAGUACG
rnacentral:rRNA from 1 species